GCUCCUUUGCGCUGCGGAGAAGCCAACACUGCCAACUUCGCAGGCGACGCCGACACUCCGCAGAUUCCGGCCGCUCAAGGGUGGUUGACAUCGGUGCCGUUGUUAUUAAACACUACGCGGUCUUCGGUGCCACUGGUCGAGCGACGUGU
rnacentral:lncRNA from 1 species